CCUACGGGAGGCAGCAGUGGGGAAUAUUGGACAAUGGGGGGAACCCUGAUCCAGCCAUGCCGCGUGUGUGAAGAAGGCCCUCGGGUUGUAAAGCACUUUCAGUGAGGAAGAACGCCUGGUGGUUAAUACCCAUCAGGAAAGACAUCACUCACAGAAGAAGCACCGGCUAACUCCGUGCCAGCAGCCGCGGUAAUACGGAGGGUGCGAGCGUUAAUCGGAAUUACUGGGCGUAAAGCGCGCGUAGGUGGCUUGAUAAGCCGGUUGUGAAAGCCCCGGGCUCAACCUGGGAACGGCAUCCGGAACUGUCAAGCUAGAGUGCAGGAGAGGAAGGUAGAAUUCCCGGUGUAGCGGUGAAAUGCGAAGAGAUCGGGAGGAAUAGCAGUGGCGAAGGCGGCAUUCUGGCCUGACACUGACAGUGAGGUGCGAAAGCGUGGGUAGAAAACAGGAUUAGAUACCCUGGUAGUC
rnacentral:rRNA from 1 species